rfam:Solanum lycopersicum cultivar Heinz 1706 chromosome 1, whole genome shotgun sequence.
GCCGCUAUGGUGGAAUUCGUAGACACGCUGCUCUUAGGAAGCAGUGCUAAUGCAUCUUGGUUCGAGUCCGAGUGGCGGCU